AGUGAACGCUGGCGGCAGGCCUAACACAUGCAAGUCGAGCGGCAGCGCGUCCGACCACCCUCGGGUGGUCGGAUGGCGGCGAGCGGCGGACGGGUGAGGAAUGCAUCGGAAUCUGCCUCGUUGUGGGGGAUAACGUAGGGAAACUUACGCUAAUACCGCAUACGACCUACGGGUGAAAGUGGGGGACCUUCGGGCCUCACGCGAUGAGAUGAGCCGAUGCCGGAUUAGCUAGUUGGCGGGGUAAAGGCCCACCAAGGCGACGAUCCGUAGCUGGUCUGAGAGGAUGAUCAGCCACACUGGAACUGAGACACGGUCCAGACUCCUACGGGAGGCAGCAGUGGGGAAUAUUGGACAAUGGGGGGCAACCCUGAUCCAGCCAUGCCGCGUGUGUGAAGAAGGCC
rnacentral:rRNA from 1 species